ACACUCCUGAAAAGUCCAACAAUAGGACGAAACGGCCGUCCAGUGC
rfam:Schistosoma curassoni strain Dakar, Senegal genome assembly, scaffold: SCTD_scaffold0011233